rnacentral:ncRNA from 1 species
UGCAGUACCGCGGGAGCCAGUGAAGCUGGCUGAGAGGGCGCCGACUACGCCGACCGAUUGCGCCUUGAGGGCGCGGAACCUGAUCCGGAUCAUGCCGGCGUAGGGAAGGAGAACAUUGUGGCA